GACGAACGCUGGCGGCGUGCCUAAUACAUGCAAGUAGAACGCACAGUUUAUACCGUAGCUUGCUACACCAUAGACUGUGAGUUGCGAACGGGUGAGUAACGCGUAGCUAACCUGCCUGGUAGCGGGGGAUAACUAUUGGAAACGAUAGCUAAUACCGCAUAAUAUUGAUUAUUGCAUGAUAAUUGAUUGAAAGAUGCUAUUGCAUCACUACCAGAUGGACCUGCGUUGUACUAGCUAGUAGGUGAGGUAACGGCUCACCUAGGCGACGAUACAUAGCCGACCUGAGAGGGUGGUCGGCCACACUGGGACUGAGACACGGCCCAGACUCCUACGGGAGGCAGCAGUAGGGAAUCUUCGGCAAUGGACGAAAGUCUGACCGAGCAACGCCGCGUGAGUGAAGAAGGUUUUCGGAUCGUAAAGCUCUGUUGUAAGAGAAGAACGGGUGUGAGAGUGGAAAGUUCACACUGUGACGGUAUCUUACCAGAAAGGGACGGCUAACUACGUG
rnacentral:rRNA from 1 species